rnacentral:rRNA from 1 species
UAUUAGUCCAUGAGCGAAAGCGUGAUCCAGUUAUGCCGCGUGUGUGAAUAUGGCCUUGGCAUUGUAAUGCUCAUUAAGUUUUGAGGAAGGACAGUAGGUUAAUACCUUGCUGUUCUGACGUUGCCGACUGAAUAAGACCCGUCUAACUUCGUGAUAGCUGCCGGGGUAAUACGAAGGGUGCAAGCGUUAAUAGGAAUUACUGGGCGUAAAGCGCGCGUAGGUGGUUUGUUAAGUUGGAAGUGAAAGCCCCGGGCUCAACCUGGGAACUGCUUUCAAAACUGGCAAGCUAGAGUAAGGCAGAGGGUGGUGGAAUUUCCUGUGUAGCGGUGAAAUGCGUAGAUAUAGGAAGGAACACCAGUGGCGAAGGCGACCACCUGGGCUAAUACUGACACAGAGGUGCGAAAGCGUGGGGAGCAAACAG